rnacentral:rRNA from 1 species
UACACUCCUGCGGGAGGCAGCAGUGAGGAAUAUUGGACAAUGGGUGGAAGCCUGAUCCAGCCAUCCCGCGUGCAGGAAGACGGCCCUAUGGGUUGUAAACUGCUUUUAUCUGGGGAUAAACCUACUUACGUGUAAGUAGCUGAAGGUACCAGAAGAAUAAGCACCGGCUAACUCCGUGCCAGCAGCCGCGGUAAUACGGAGGGUGCAAGCGUUAUCCGGAUUUAUUGGGUUUAAAGGGUCCGUAGGCGGACUGAUAAGUCAGUGGUGAAAUCCGACAGCUUAACUGUCGAACUGCCAUUGAUACUGUUAGUCUUGAGUAAGGUUGAAGUGGCUGGAAUAAGUAGUGUAGCGGUGAAAUGCAUAGAUAUUACUUAGAACACCAAUUGCGAAGGCAGGUCACUAAGUCUUAACUGACGCUGAUGGACGAAAGCGUGGGGAGCGAACAGGAUUAGAAACCCGGGUAGUCCCAUGAU